rnacentral:rRNA from 1 species
AAUGAACGCUGGCGGCAGGCCUAACACAUGCAAGUCGAGCGGGGUUUUCGGACCUAGCGGCGGACGGGUGAGUAAUGCGAAGGAAGCUGCCCGAUAGAGGGGGAUACCAGUUGGAAACGACUGUUAAUACCGCAUAAUGUCUACGGACCAAAGUGUGGGACCUUCGGGCCACAUGCUAUCGGAUGCGCCUACGUGGGAUUAGCUAGUUGGUGAGGUAAUGGCUCACCAAGGCGACGAUCUCUAACUGGUUUGAGAGGAUGAUCAGCCACACUGGAACUGAGACACGGUCCAGACUCCUACGGGAGGCAGCAGUGGGGAAUAUUGGACAAUGGGCGCAAGCCUGAUCCAGCCAUGCCGCGUGUGUGAUGAAGGCCUUCGGGUUGUAAAGCACUUUCAGCGAGGAGGAAGGGUGGUGUGUUAAUAGCACAUCAUUUUGACGUUACUCGCAGAAGAAGCACCGGCUAACUCUGUGCCAGCAGCCGCGGUAAAAC